AACUUUAUAUUCAAUUAUGAUAUUAAAUUGCAAAUUUAAAGGUAAAUUUAUAUUUUAAAGUUU
rnacentral:tRNA from 1 species